rnacentral:rRNA from 1 species
UGGGGAAUAUUGCACAAUGGGCGCAAGCCUGAUGCAGCGACGCCGCGUGAGGGAUGACGGCCUUCGGGUUGUAAACCUCUUUCAGCCGGGAAGAAGCGCAAGUGACGGUACCUGCAGAAGAAGCGCCGGCUAACUACGUGCCAGCAGCCGCGGUAAUACGUAGGGCGCAAGCGUUGUCCGGAAUUAUUGGGCGUAAAGAGCUCGUAGGCGGCUUGUCACGUCGGGUGUGAAAGCCCGGGGCUUAACCACGGGUCUGCAUUCGAUACGGGCUGGCUAGAGUGUGGUAGGGGGGAUCGGAAUUCCUGGUGUAGCGGUGAAAUGCGCAGAUAUCAGGAGGAACACCGGUGGCGAAGGCGGAUCUCUGGGCCAUUACUGACGCUGAGGAGCGAAAGCGUGGGGAGCGAACA